ACGAACGCUGGCGGAAUGCUUAAUACAUGCAAGUCGAACGAUGAUGGCUCUUCGGAGUUCAAUCAGUGGCGGACGGGUGAGUAACGCGUUGGUAUCUGCCUUAAACUGGGGGAUAACGUCUGGAAACGGGCGCUAAUACCGCAUAAGUCUACGGAUAAAAGGAGUAAUCCGGUUUGAGAGGAGCCUGCGUGAGAUUAGCUAGUUGGUAGGGUAAGAGCCUACCAAGGCAACGAUCUCUAGUUGGUCUGAGAGGAUGGCCAGCCACAGUGGGACUGAGACACGGCCCACACUCCUACGGGAGGCAGCAGUAGGGAAUAUUGCGCAAUGGGCGAAAGCCUGACGCAGCAAUUCCGCGUGGAGGAUGACGGUUCUAGGACUGUAAACUCCUGUCAGUAGGGAAGAGAAAAAGGACGGUACCUACAGAGGAAGCACCGGCUAACUACGUGCCAGCAGCCGCGGUAAUACGUAGGGUGCGAGCGUUGUCCGGAAUUAUUGGGCGUAAAGCGUCCGUAGGCGGUUAUGUAAGUCUAAUGUUAAAGGCACUGGCUCAACCAGUGUAUGGUGUUGGAAACUACAUGACUAGAGUAUGGUAGAGGUUACUGGAAUUCCUGGUGUAGCGGUGAAAUGCGUAGAUAUCAGGAGGAACACCGGUGGCGAAAGCGGGUAACUGGGCCAUAACUGACGCUAAUGGACGAAAGCUAGGGUAGCCAAAGGGAUUAGAUACCCCUGUAGUCCUAGCCGUAAACGAUGGAUACUAGGUGUUGGGUGAAUCGACCCAUUCAGUGCCGAAGCAAACGCGAUAAGUAUCCCGCCUGGGGAGUACGACCGCAAGGUUGAAACUCAAAGGAAUUGACGGGGACCCGCACAAGCGGUGGAACAUGUGGUUUAAUUCGAUGCAACGCGAAGAACCUUACCUGGGCUUGACAUCCUUAGAACCUUCUUGAAAGAGAGGGGUGCUUUUCGGAGAGCUAAGAGACAGGUGGUGCAUGGUUGUCGUCAGCUCGUGUCGUGAGAUGUUGGGUUAAGUCCCGCAACGAGCGCAACCCACGUCGUAUGUUGUUACAGGUCUGCGGAUGCUGAACCCUCAUGCGAGACUGCCGGUGACAAGCCGGAGGAAGGUGUGGAUGACGUCAAAUCAUCAUGCCCCUUAUGUCCAGGGCUACACACGUGUUACAAUGGGAUAGGACAAUAAGCAGCUGAGUAGCGAUGCUUGGCAAAUCUAUAAACCUACCCUCAGUUCGGAUCGUAGUCUGCAACUCGACUACGUGAAGUUGGAAUCGCUAGUAAACGCAGAUCAGCACGCUGCGUUGAAUACGUUCCCGGGUCUUGUACACACCGCCCGUCACACCACGAAAGAAGAUUAUGCCCGAAGUUGUUGAGCGAACCCUAUGGGACGCAGGCACCUAAGGCAGAAUUUUUGAUUGGGGUGAAGUCGUAACA
rnacentral:rRNA from 1 species